rnacentral:rRNA from 1 species
GACGAACCGUGCGAACGUUAUUCGGAAUCACUGGGCUUAAAGCGCGUGUAGGCGGAUGAGCACGUCUGUCGCUGAAAUCCCCCGGCUCAACCGGGGAACGGGCGCGGAUACGGCUCGUCUCGAGGGGCGUAGGGGGACCUGGAACUUCCGGUGGAGCGGUGAAAUGCGUUGAGAUCGGAAGGAACGCCCGUGGCGAAAGCGGCUCUCUGGGCAGAUACUGACGCUGAGACGCGAAAGCAUGGGGAGCAAACAGG